rnacentral:rRNA from 1 species
UACAGGGGGCGCAAGCGUUGCUCGGAAUCACUGGGCGUAAAGCGUACGCAGGCGGGGCGUUAAGUCGGUUGUGAAAUCCCGGGGCUCAACCCCGGAACUGCAUUCGAUACUGGCGAUCUUGAGUACGGGAGAGGUGAGCGGAAUUCCUGGUGUAGAGGUGAAAUUCGUAGGUAUCAGGAGGAACACCGGUGGCGAAAGCGGCUCACUGGCCCGAUACUGACGCUCAUGUACGAAAGCGUGGGGAGCAAACAGG